GUUGAACUUGGACAAGAUCCACAUGCUCCUUGCAGCUUAAGAAUUACAACGAGGCCAUCAAUCUCAUGUAGUACCACAUUUCCUCCAUCAGCCAUUAGGCCUGGCCUGACUUGCUCUAGAACCUUCUCGACGUUUUCCUCAGUAAGUGGAAGGACACAACUUGGUGAUACCACAGCACCUGCAUUUUUUCUUCUUUGUCCAGUUCUACCGACCCCAAGGAAGUGUCUAACAUGAUAUUGACCUCUUAGAAAAGAACUUUGCUUUGAAG
rnacentral:misc_RNA from 1 species